UAUCCCGCACCAAGCGCAACUCUUUGUCCUUAGUUGCAUCAUUCAGUUGGGCCUCUAAGGAGACUGCGUAAAAUACGGAGGAGGUGGGGAUGACGUCAAUCAUCAUGCCCCUUAUGACCUGGGCUACACACGUGCUACAAUGGACGGUACAAACGGUCGCGAAGUCGCGAGACGGAGCCAAUCCGAAAAAACCGUUCUCAGUUCGGAUUGCAGGCUGCAACUCGCCUGCAUGAAGCCGGAAUCGCUAGUAAUCGCGGAUCAGCAUGCCGCGGUGAAUACGUUCCCGGGCCUUGU
rnacentral:rRNA from 1 species